rnacentral:rRNA from 1 species
UGCACAAUGGGCGAAAGCCUGAUGCAGCCAUGCCGCGUGUGUGAAGAAGGCCUUCGGGUUGUAAAGCACUUUCAGUCAUGAGGAAAGGGUGUGAGUUAAUACCUGAYAUCUGUGACGUUACUGACAGAAGAAGCACCGGCUAACUCCGUGCCAGCAGCCGCGGUAAUACGGAGGGUGCGAGCGUUAAUCGGAAUUACUGGGCGUAAAGCGYACGCAGGCGGUUUGUUAAGCNAGAUGUGAAAGCCCCGGGCUCAACCUGGGAACUGCAUUUNGAACUGGCAAACUAGAGUGUGAUAGAGGGUGGURGAAUUUCAGGUGUAGCGGUGAAAUGCGUAGAGAUCUGAAGGAANACCGAUGGCGAAGGCAGC